rnacentral:rRNA from 1 species
AGAUUGAACGCUGGCGGAAUGCUUUACACAUGCAAGUCGAGCGGCAGCGCGGGGCAACCUGGCGGCGAGCGGCGAACGGGUGAGUAAUGCAUCGGAACGUGUCCAUGUCGUGGGGGAUAGCCCGGCGAAAGCCGGAUUAAUACCGCAUACGCCCGAGAGGGGAAAGUGGGGGACCGCAAGGCCUCACGCGAUUGGAUCGGCCGAUGUCCGAUUAGCUAGUUGGCGGGUAAAGCCCACAAGGCGAUGAUCGGUAGCUGGUCUGAGAGGAUGGAUCAGCCACACGUGGACUGAGACACGGCCCAGACUCCGUACGGGAGCAGCGAGGUAGGGUAAUUUUGGACAAGUGGGGGACAACCGUGA